UACGAAGGGGGCUAGCGUUGCUCGGAAUCACUGGGCGUAAAGGGCGCGUAGGCGGACUCUUAAGUCGGGGGUGAAAGCCCAGGGCUCAACCCUGGAAUUGCCUUCGAUACUGAGAGUCUUGAGUUCGGAAGAGGUUGGUGGAACUGCGAGUGUAGAGGUGAAAUUCGUAGAUAUUCGCAAGAACACCAGUGGCGAAGGCGGCUCUCUGGGCAGAUACCGACGCUGAGACGCGAAAGCGUGGGAAGCAAACAGG
rnacentral:rRNA from 1 species